rnacentral:rRNA from 1 species
CAGUCGCCACGGUAAUACGUAGGGUGCAAGCGUUAAUCGGAAUUACUGGGCGCAAAGCGUGCGCAGGCGGUUCGUUAAGACAGAUGUGAAAUCCCCGGGCUUAACCUGGGAACUGCAUUUGUGACUGGCGGGCUAGAGUAUGGCAGAGGGGGGUAGAAUUCCACGUGUAGCAGUGAAAUGCGUAGAGAUGUGGAGGAAUACCGAUGGCGAAGGCAGCCCCCUGGGCCAAUACUGACGCCCAUGCACGAAAGCGUGGGGAGCAAACAGGAUUAGAUACCCCGGGUAGUCCCUGUCUCUUAUA